GAGCAGCAGCGGUGGGAUCCCCCUUUGGCACGGCCACCCACCGCUACGGGACUGCAACAAGGAGCUGCACCCUGCCGUGGUCAGCAUGGCUCUGUGUGCCAGCUGUGUGCUGCUGGAAAGCACCCGAGCGGUUACGGGUGGGAGAGUGGCAGAGGAAAUCAUCCAACAUCUGCAGGGAUAGCACAAGGCAGGCUCAGUGUGACAGCUGUGUCAUUGUGCAGCAGACAGAUGCUGAGCAGAGCACAGCAGGGCCAGGACGUUCUGACCAGGGGGAGGUGGAGAGUGCACACGAGAUAAGGCACAGCUGCAGGACGGAGCAUGAGACCCAGCACGUGCAACAGCUGCAAGAAAUCCUGCCUGCCUGUCUGCAUAGAAAAGCACACAAUCAGCCCGAAAGGAACACGUUGGCCAUAGACCUCCUCUGGAAAAACUGCACAGCGGAUGCGUGGUGGAGACUGUGAGCCUGCAGUGCCCAGCCAAGGGGGAACAGGAGAGCAGUGGGUGCCAUGGGAGGAGAGCUACAGGAGCAGAAGGAGCUCACAGAGGAGAGUGCAGUAACGCCAUAGUAAUAAGGAAUGAGUAAUAAGGAAUGAGCAUUGCUGCUGCACUGAGAGCUGUGCUUGGUAAAACAUGAGGGAUGCGAGUGUUUCUCGCACACCCCAGAGGCACCGGGGGAGAUGUGCUGACAUGUAAGGAAGCCUCAUGGGGUUGUGGGGCAGAUAAAGGACGCCUAUGGGAGGGCUUCAGGAGAACUUUGAGGCAGCCUUGCAGCAGAGCCACACCUGGGAUCUGCCUUUACCCAACACACUGCUGCUGGCCAUGGGCUGCGGGCAGUGAUGGGGCUACUCUGGGGCUGCUCUAGGAUGGCUCUGGGGCUGCUAUGGGCAGCUAUGGGAUACACUCAUGGAGCAUCUUCCAUAGCCCCCAGCUAACCCCUCGACCUCCAUCUUGUCCCGCAAGAUGAGGGCAAGAUGAGCGUCAGGGGAAUAUUCAGGCUGCUGACCUACAGCGGCCCCAGAACCACCUUAUAGUACCCCCUGAACAAGCCAGGAACAGACCCAUCCCUGCCCACAGCCUCAUAUGGGCUUACGGUGCUCACAGGGUUAUGGGACAUGUGGAGCCUCUGGGUCACGCGGAGUUCUAUGGGGUUCUGGGCUCAUGUGGCGUUAUGGAUCAGGGCUACCACCUUUGGGACACAGGGAACCCCAAUCCCCUCUCAGGAAGAAAUCAAUGAAUGCACUCCAACACCACUCCACAUCCCCCAUUCUGACCCCAAACCGCUCCCCACGAGCCCCCAGACCCCCCACAUACCCAUGCCACGCCAUGUCUCUGCACCCACAAUUCCCACCUGUACCUCACACCUUGCCUUCUCCUGUGAAGCACUCUGCUCCUGUAGGCUGUGGUCCACAUCCCCUUAUCCUCCCCAAAUCCUCCCAUGUUCUGAUCCGUGUUCCCCAGUAUCCCCAGUGCCGCCCACUUCACUUUCACCCACAUCUGUGCCCUACACCUUCUCCAGCUCCUCAUUCCUCACCUGCAGAAGCCAUCCAUGCCACAGCACUGUGAGGUUGUACGGGAUCUGGAGGCAGGUCGGGGGGAGGAGAGGCCAAAGGUGGGCUAUGGGGGUCCUGGGAUGGUGAUGGGGGUCCUGUCAGGGAACAUGGGGGUUAGUGAGUUCCCAGGGAGGAUCUUGGAGGUGUAAAGGAGGUCUGAGGGAGGAAAUAGGAGGAUUCCGUGGAAGCCCAGUGGGGGACAUGGGGUGCUGCUGGGGACUGUGGGGCUCCAUGUGGGUAUGGGCCAGCUACGGGGGAGGUGUACUGGGUCUGAGGGGGUUCCUGAGGGGCUCCAGGGCUCUGUGGGGGGCUACAGGGUGUCUCUAGGGGUCUUGCUGGGAAACACUGGGAGGGAUAUAUGGGCUCUGAGGGAAUGAUGGGUGGGCUGUCAUGAGAAAGGAAAGGGCAGCCUUGGGGAAAGCAAGGGGCAGCCAGGGGGAUGGAAGGGAAUCCUACAGGAAUGCAAGGGGAAUCCAGGCUGAGGCAAGGGGACAGCUGGGGGAAGAACAGGGGAACGUCCCAGCAACGGACUUCUUCUUUCACAUCCACAUCUUCUGCUUCCCAACUGAGCUGCAAAGCUGCCAGAGGAGCUGCAGUACCGCUGCCCGACUCCUGCCUGUGUCAGAAAGAGCUGCACGUGAGCAGAGUGCAAUUGCCAUUCUAAAGCCAACUCCAUCACUGCAGUCACAAAACCACAACCUUCAGUAUCUGCUACAGGCAGACGACCAUGCCCUUGCACAGGAACCAUUCCUACAGAGCAAGGGAAGUCCUUCACUGCCUCAGGACGUGAGGAACACAGGAAGGGCCCCAAAGCCUUCAGCACAUGCUAUGGAGCCACCGACUUUGGCAGCUAAACACACCUUCUCCUUCAAGAAUGAGCAAGACCAAUCAAUGCACCCUGCUGCUGCAGAGGGCUGCGCUGCAUCUCCUGGUGCCACCCUUGGGCUGUCAUCGCGCUGCCCACCCACAGCGCACUUUGAAGCGCCGCAGCCUUGCAAGAAAGAACAGAGAGCAAGGAGCUCUGCCGUGCACUUCCUGUGAGAACACAGAGAGGAGCCGUACAGCCCUUGCUCUCAGCACACACACCUCUUCUCUUACCAGCCGUUCAUUCCUGCACAGCGCUGCUCAAACCCCUCCUCCAUCUCUCCCUUCACAACGCCAUACGCAGCCUCUCCCCAGCGACGAGCUCUGGGCUCUUUCAUGCCUGUGCCAUCAUCGGGGCCUGCAGAACAAACCUGGGAGUUCAGAGGUUUGAUUAGAAUCGCUGCUACCGUGCAGGGAGGGAGGGCUGAGAUGCACAGCGUCCUCACCUGCUGGAUGUUGGAAGGGGAGGUUCAGCAGCAGCUCGACUCGCCAUGAUUAAGUCCUCCAAAAGCCGCCUUCUUUCUUUCGGAUCAGCAGACUGCAGACUGAAACCUUCUCCAAAGACAUUAUGAAACAUGAUUAGAUUAUUAAGCAUAAUCAUUAAACAUAAACAGAUUACCUAAACCCAAGGAGAAAACACGUUUCAGAUGGAAGACCACAAAAGCAUCAUAUUCUAUUCCAAGACAACUUCAGUUCCAAUUUCAAUUUCAUGACUAGCAUUUCACCCUCCCUGCUGUGGAAGGGGGGAAAGGAAGGAAGGGAGAGCCUUCUAGCCCCACAUCCCUUUAGAGAUCACCCUAUAGCUCCAGAUCAUCCUAUGGACCCACACAGCCCCUUAGAGGACCACAUCCUCCAAACACCCCCUAUAGCCUUAUAUCUCCCUAUAUCCCAAAUAGCCCACCACAGCCCCUCUGUAACCCCCAAAGGCCCACUUUUAGCCCCCCAUACCUUCUCCAGCAUAACAUCCCUCUCUACAGACCCUCCCGGCCCCCUAUCAUCCUAUACACUCUCACAGCCCGCCACAACCCCCUAAAAACCCACUAUUGCCCCAUAUCUCCCUAUAUCCCCUCCACAGCCCCCUAUAGCCUCCUACCCUACUAGAACCCUCCUACAGCCCACCCACAGAACCCUAUAGCCACAUAACCACCUAUAAACCCGCUAUAGCUCUCCCACUGCCCCCUAUAGCCUCCCCAUAGAACCAUAGAGCUUCCCACAAUAGCCCCCUACAGCGUCAUAUUAUUCCCCUGCUCCCUACAGCCACAUAGAACCCCAUGUCCCCUCUACAGUCCCUAAGACCCUCCCUACAGUCCCCCAGUCCCCUAUAAGCCCAAUCGCCCCUUACAGCUACCCACAGACCCUACACUGGCCCUAGACUCCCUCCAGAGCCCCCCACACUCUCCCAUAUCCAACCUCAUAUCCCCCUAGAACCCUUCUAGACUCCAUAUCUCCUCUAUAUCCCCACAGCCCCACAGACACCCUAUAUCCUCCCUCAGGCCCCCACAAUCUCCUACAAGCACAACAUCCUUCCCUAGAGCCCCCCCCAACCCCUAGCACCCUCAACGCUCCCACAUGUUGCCACAAACCCCCAGAGCCACAUAUCCCCCUCGAACACACCUAUAGCCCUUACAGCCCCCUCAUAGAACCUGUGUAGCUCCUCCCAAAGCCCCCUACAGAGCCAUAUCACCCCUAUACCCCCACAGCCCCCUAGAGAACCAAAUCCCCCUAUAUCCCCCAUAUAGCCCUAAAAACUCUCCCUAAAGACCCGCAGCACCAUAGAGCCCCAUAUCCCCCAAUAGAUCCCACAGAUCCCUAGAUCCCAACCGCAUCCCCCUCUUUCCCAUAUACCCCAAUACCCCUUCUACAGUCCCCCACAGCUUUCUAGAGCCCCAUAGCCCCCCUAGAGAUACAAUUAAGCUCCAUAAAGCCCCACACACCCCUAGAGCCAACCCUAGAGCCACCCUAGCGCCCUAUAGCCUCAUAUCCUCCAACAACCCCACACAGCCCUAUAUCCCUCUGCAGCCCCCCUAUAGCCCCCAGUAGACCCACAUCCCUCCCGAUAGCCCCCACAGACCACUACAGCCCCAUAUCCCCCAAUAUCCACCCCUAUAACCCACUACAGCCCCCUGUCGCCCCAAAGCACUACCCUAUACCCCAUACAGUCCCAUUUCUCCCUCUGGCCUCCCCAUGGCCCCUCACACCCUCCCUGGAUUCCCAACACAGCCCCCUACAGCCCCAUCUCCUCCUACAACCCACGCACAGCCCUACAUCCCUCUAUAGCACCCCCUGUGGGCCCCACAUCCCUCCAUCCCCCUCUAUUCCCAAAACCCACCGAUAUCCCCAUAUCCCUCGAGAUCCCCACACAGCACCCUACAGCCCCAUAUCCUCCCACAUCCCCCAAAUAGCCCCCAAAGCCCCUCAGCUCCCACAUCCCCACCACAUCUCCCCCACUGCCCCUCCACCCACAGACCACCUCAGCCUUGGGGGGCACCGCGAGCAGAGCUGGAGGCUCGGGGUUCCAGGCCCUAAUGGGGGCAGCAGCGCUACAGCGGUGGGGGCCCCGACUCCUUCAGCCGCCCCAAAUCCCCGCAUCCCACGGCGAAGGGGACGGCCACGGGCUGCCGUCUGAGGGGACAGCUGGGCGAUUCCAAGCCGGUUGCCAACGGCGCGCUCUGCCCCUCAGCCGAAUUGGAGCUGGCGGCGCUGCCGCUCACCAAUCAGAGGCCAGGGGCGGGCCAGAAAUGCCGUUGACCAAUGAGAGGCCAGCAGGGGCGGGAUGGAGCUGCCGCUGACCAAUGAGAGGCCACCGGGGGUGGCUUAGAGCUGCUGCUGACCAAUGAGAGCCAGCAGUGGCGGGAUGGAACUGCCGAUCACCAAUUAGAGGCCACCGGGGGCGGGAUGGAGCCUCUGCUGACCAAUGAGAGGCCGGCACGGGCCUGCACCGAGCUGGGAGCAGAGCGGACACCCUCAAAGCAGCGGCAGCGACAGGAAGCGGUUCCAAGAAGCAAAGUAUGGCGGCGAGGCGCUGCCGGGAGCAGCAAAAAGGCGGUGAGGCUCUCCCUGAAGCACCACAGCGGUUUGUUUGCCCACAGCACACACGCGUGUGUGGCCCCAUCCCUGCGUGCAACCACAUGCACGCACACACAUGCAACCCCAUCCCGUUGCACAGCAGUGCACGCGCAAUGACGCGUGCAGCCUCAUCUGCAGCUCCACAGGCAGGAGGAGACGGGCCGAGGAGAGCGCUCCCUCGGAUGAAAGGCAGUGGGCAGCCAUGGCAAAGGCUGAGGUGCUCAGUGAGAGCUUUGCCUCGGUCUUUGCAGGUGGUCGGGCUUCCCGUGCCUGCCGGGACCCUGAAGCCCUCGGUGUGGGUGAGAGGAGCGCAUUCCGUCCCACUGUAACGGCGGAAGAAGUCUGAGUCCUCCGCGGGGAACUGAAUGUAUGUAAGUCCGUGGGGCCGGAUGAUAUCCAUCCCAGGCUUCUGCGAGAUGGCUGAUGUGGUGCCGAGCCGCUCUCCGUUGCAUCGGAAAAGUCCCGGCUGACUGGGGAAGUUCCCGGUGACUGGAAAAGCAGAAAGGGAAACAGUGCUCCCAUUUGUAAGGACGGGAGAAAGGAGGACCCGGGGAACUACGGGUCGGUGAGCCGCAGCUCUGUGCCUGGGAAGGUCCUGGAGCAGAUCCUCCUAGAAGCUGUGUUAAGGCACAUCCGAGACAAAGAGGUGAUCCGAGACAGCCAGCAUGGCUUCACCAAGGGCAGAUCGUGCCUGGCCGAUCCGGUGGCCUUCUGUGAUGGAGUGACGGCUUCAGUGGACGGGGGAGGGGCGGUGGAUGUCAUCUACCUGGACUGCUGCAAGGCCUUUGCCAUGGUCCCUCACCACAUUCCGCACUCUACACUGGAGAGGUGUGGAUGUGAAGGAUUGCCUGUUGAGUGGAUUAGGAACUGGCUGGCUGGACGCAGCCAAAGGGUUGUGAUCAGUGGGUCUGUGCCAGGGUGGGGGCCGGUCCCAAGCGGUGUCCCUCGGGGGUCGGUCUUGGCACCGGUGCUCUUCAGCAUCUCCAUCAGUGACAGACGAUGGCAUCGAGUGCACCCUCAGCAAGUUUGCGGAUGACACCAAGCUGAGCGGUGCAGUCGCUACGUUGGAGGGAAGGGAAGCCAUCCCGAGGGACCUGGGCAGGCUGGAGAAGUGGGCCCACGAGAACUUGAUGAGGUUCAGCAAGGCCAAGCGCAGGGUGCUGCAUUGGGUCGGGGCAAUCCCAGGUAUUUAUACAGAGUGGGGGAAGAUCUCUCUGAGAGCAGCCCCGCGGAGAAGGACUUGGGGGUCCUGGUGGGCGAGAAGCUGCACGUGAGCCAGCAGUGUGUGCUUGCAGCCCGGAAGGCCAACUGUGUGCUGGGCUGCAUUCAAAAAGCGGUGGCCAGCAGGGAGAGGGAGUGAUUGUGCCCCUCUACUCGAUCCCAUCUGCAGUACUGCGUCCAGGCCUGGGGUCCCCAGCACAGGAAGGACGUGGAGCUGUUGGAGCGGGUCCAGGGGAGGGCCACUAAGAUGGCCAGAGGGCUGGAGCACCUCUCCUGUGAGGAAAGGUUGAGGGAACUGGUCUUGUUUAGCCUGGAGAAGAGAAGGCUCUGGGGAGACCCCAUUGUGGCCUUUCAGUACCUGAAGGGAGCAUCUAACCAGGAGGGGGACCGGCUGUUUAUGAGGGUGGAUAGUGAUAGGAUAAGGAGGAAUGCUUUUCAAUGGAGACUGGGAGAAUUUACAUUAGCUACUAGGAGGAAGUUUUACACUCAGAGGGUGCUGACGCAGCUGGAAGAGGUUGCCCAGGGAGGUUGUGGAUGCCUCAUCCAUGGAGGCAUUCAGGGCCAAGGAUGUGGCUCCUGGGCAGCCUGGUCUGGUGGUUGGCGACCCUGCACAUAGCUGGGGGUUGGAACUCAAUGACCUUUGACGGUCCUUUUCAACCCAGGCCAUCCUAUGAUUCCUGUGAUUCUAUGAUUAGUGCCAUGAGAGCUCUCCUUCUUCUACGUGUGAGGUGAGACUGCACUGUGUCCUCCUUUAUGUCAGGCUCUUUUUCCCUUCUCUUUGUAAGGAAGGAAACUUAAUUUGUGGGCCCGGAGAAGAAAUGACACAAUCUUCCCCGCACUGCUCAGUUUGCAGGAGUUGCCAAGUGCUGCUCCUUUUCCUUGUAUCCUUCAAUUCCAAGUCCACAUUUUCCCAAAAGCCAAAGAAUACAGCGGUAACCACCUACAGAUAAAUGAGCAAUUUCAGUAUUUAUUUCCAGACUGUGGUAAUUCCUUCAGUUCAGAGGUCACCCUUAAUGUACGGUGCCUGUUUUGAUUCUGACAGAGGUUGUAGUUGCAGCUGACCUUCCAAGGCUGCAAUACGUGGUGGUGGGACAGCCUUGGGCUUCUGCGUUUGCAUUAAUCCCACGUUUCCCAUCUCUGCCUUGCAGCUCUGCUGGUGCUGGAAGUGGACGGUAUUGCAGUAUGAAUGAAGGAGCAGCUGCUGAUGGGAGGCAGGAAGUCCAGGCUCAUGAACGCUGAGGCAUCUGCCAGUACGGCACCAGAGGAGGCAGUAGUGACGUUGGGGGGCAGUUGCAGAAGAAGAUGAGGAGUUCCCCAGCAGGAAGCCACAAACCCGGCAGGAACCUGCAGGGGAAUCGCAGCAUGGUUCCUGUCCCAAGGGAGAUUUUGGGAUCGAGGCAGUCGGAGGAAGAGGGAAGCCAGCUCUUUGCAAGGGCCGGGGAAGUUCCUGUGCACAGAGGCCUGGGAACUUCAGCUUCCUCUGAGCCUUCAGCGGCCAUGUCUCAGCACGGAGACGACCGCGGUUCCAAUUGCUGCCGUCUGAGUGGCAAGGUAUGGCUGGGCUUCUUCUGCUUGGUUCUUCCUUUCUCUUGUUCUCAAGGGGAAGGGACGGAGCAGGGGGAGCCCUGCUGGUCCUUGGUGACCUCAGUAACCGGUUGCAUUCAGCGCUCACUGCUGACAGCCUGGGCUAACAACGCGGACGUGGCUCAGGCCGUCUUUUCCCUUAGUGAUAAUCAGUGUCUCAGCACUCUGAUAUCCCCUCUCUGGCACCAUCUGGAACCUCUCUGCAAGCCUUGGCUGCCCGUUCCCACCACCGUUUCUUCCUUUCUCUCUUCAGAAGCGGCGCGGCGCGGUUCCCCGCGGUUGGGAGCAGCAGCCAGCAGGCUGCCAGAGAUCCGACCGCGCCUUCCAGCGCACAGAGGGACGCAACAGGGACGGACGGUCCUUCAUGCCAUACAGAAGUGAGUUUCUUCAGCCCUCUGUCA
ensembl:lncRNA